GGGCUCGUAGCUCAGAAAGGUAGAGCAGCGGGCUUUUAACCCGUCGGUCACGGGUUCAAAUCCCGUCGAGCUCG
rnacentral:tRNA from 1 species